GUGUUUUCUAUUCCCUAGGAAAAUCUUGUGUUUCCCAAUAUAAAAUCUCGUGUUUUUAUGAAACAAUUUCUAUGCAUGUUUUUUUUAUUUUUAAAUCCUGCAAAUUAACUGUCAUGAAUGCUAUAUGUCAGCGUGAGCUAGGAAGCACGUCACCAGCCCCUCAUAUUAAAGCCUAAGAGAAUGGUCGUGAAAUAUUUUCGUACACGUUUCCGUUUUGAGCUAACAACCAGAUAGCUAGGACAGGUUAGUUCAGUCCCAGUCCUUGUGAUGCAAUAGUUAGGUCACGUGUCAAUUGGAAGAGCUUAGGUAGCUAGCUAAAUAGCCCUGCAUGCGCAUCCAAAUCAAGAGAAUGUUCAUGUUUUCUCCUUGCUCCAUUUGAUUGACGACAUUAGUUUCCACCAACUAAUUAAUCUGGCCAGGUUCCUUUCUGAACUUUUGAUCUGUCUGAAACAAAAGCAUGCAAUGUUGUCAGCCUGUACGAAAUUCGGUCCUUUGAGGAAAAUCACAUCCACUGUCUCACCGAAUGACACUGUACUCUCUGGGUGUCUAUCUAUCUUUUUCUUUUUUGCGAGUAAAGGUGUCUAUCUAUCUGAUCGGACAUGAAUUGGGAUGCAAGACCAAAUAAAUAUUACAGGUUAAAUAAUUAGGUAGCACGUCCAUAACUCAAUUUGGCCGUAAAGAGAGGCGAUUAAAGUGCUAGAUACCACGUCCACAAGUGUUUUUUACUCCUUUUCAAUCUUCUGUUAUUAAUUUGGACAUGGAUAUUUACCUUUUGUCACAAGGGCGCCAAUAAACCUAGCUGCCCCCUUGGAAAACAGUUUGCAGCUAAUAAUAGUUCGUCAUGAGAAAAUGUAUCUUGACAAAAAACAAUAACCAUUCUUUCAGUUAGGGGUUUUGCGUGUUUGGCCGAUGUUUUAAAUUCAGG
rnacentral:lncRNA from 1 species